CUGGUCUAAGAUUCAAAAUAAAUAUCAAAAAAAAAAAUCUACAAAGAAUUGCGAGAAAAAAAAAUAAUUAUGGAAGACCAAAAUAUCGAAAGAAAAAAAUAAUUCAUUCAAAGAAGAAUAUAGACUAAAACAUCACAAAGACGUCUCACAAGAGAAUCUUUACUCACAUAAAUAAUCUCUCCUCUCUUUUUCUUUCCAUAAUUUUUCAUAUCUUUCUUUACAUAUAAAGAAGAUAUCAGAUGUUCUUUUAAAUAGAGCACCAUAUGGAUAGGAGUUUGAUUUUUAUCUUGACUUACAAACUAAAGACCGAUUAGAACAUAAAUUC
rnacentral:lncRNA from 1 species